CCAAACAUAAACAACUGUAAAAAAUUUGAUCUUUGAGAAGAAUUAGCGUUCUCUAUUACGUUCCCUGAGAUUUACUUGUAAGCUUUCUUGAGAAUCUCUAUGAUAUGACAAUUUUUUUGUAUAAUUUAGCUUGAUGGUUUUGAAAUUCAUGAUCUUUUUCGUUCUCUAGAAGAAUGAAAAACCGAUGAGGAAUUCCCCGCGUUUGUUAAUUUGGUGCUGUUGCUUCGCUAAACAAGUUCUGUCUCUCGUGCAAAGUUACACGUGAUUCAUUGCUUCUUUUAACGUUUUGAAAACACAUUUUGCCAUGACACGCGUAUACAAUCCGCGGCCAGUUAACAAUCCUCACAGAUAUCACCAACGAGGCGGAUGAGAUUGCAGGCACACUUUUCGCGCGUUCGCUAUCUAAGAGUACGUUCCGUUUCACGUAUUAUGCUUAUGAUGUACCUAUCGUUUUAUCAUUUAUAUUCUUUAAUAUUUGGUGAACGACAAAGAUAAAAUGAUGCAUCAUGCACAUCAUGCGUGAAACAACGCACUCUUAGUGCGAGCCACGUGUGAGAGCCAUGGAGCUGAGGUACCAACGAGAUUUCGGGAAAUGACCGUCGAGAGGCUUGGAAGCUUCCAGAGAGUUGGAAUCCUGGGUGAAUAUGUGGAUGGUUGAUGUCCGUGAACGUACCUCUUGGAUGGAACAAAAAAAACGAACGAGCAAGUGUUGGCAAGUUUUUGAGAUGCAAGUGGUGGAAAGACGCGAAAGAGCGAGCGAGCGAGAGAGAAAGAGAGGUGAAAGGAUCUGGAGAGUAAAAGGGAGAGAGAGAGAGAGAAAGGAGUAUAUAUUUUUGCAGGCUAAUAGAAUUUGGUGGGAUGAUGAUGAUGAUGAUGGUGAUGAUGAUGAUGAUGAUGAUGAUAAUGAUGAUGAUGAUGAUGAUGAUGAUGAUGAUGAUGAUGAUGAUGAUGAUGAUGAUGAUGAUACACUGCGCCGAAAGAAGUUGCUAGACAAGUGUGGAGCGAGUGCUUUUUUGAAAGCGUGGGGAAGUUUUUUUCAUUGCGAGAGCGUACGUCGCGAUCUGCGGCGGUGGUUGAUCGCGAUUUAAUCCGUGCUUGCUCUCGCGAAAGAAGAGACAGAUAGAACACCUGAGGCAGACGCGGACGUAAACUUACGUUUGGAAAAGUCUACUUAAUUUUGGAGAGGUCUACUGGCCUGGAGAUGUACAUGACAAGCUGCGACAGGACAAUGCGUGCAUGAUUAAAAUUCAAUUGUCUAUUGAACAUCGCAUGUGAGGAGUUUCAAUAUAAUUCGGAGUAUAUGACGAACAUUAAAGCGA
rnacentral:misc_RNA from 1 species